GACGAACGCUGGCGGCGUGCUUAACACAUGCAAGUCGAACGAAGUGGCGAACGGGUGAGUAACGCGUAAUCAACCUGCACUUCAGAGGGGGACAACAGUUGGAACCGACUGCUACUACCGCCUAAGCAAGGAGGGGAUUUCGUCGGCUUAGGUAGUUGGAGGGGUAACGGCCCACCAAGGCGAUUAUCAGUAGCAGGUAUGAGAGGAUGAACGGCCACAUGGGGACUGAGGUACGGGUCAGACUCCUACGGGCGGCAGCAGUGGGGAAUCGUCCGCAAUGGACGAAAGUCUGACGGAGCAACGCAGCGUGAGUGAUGACGGCCGUCGGGUUGUAAAGCUCUGUUAAUCGGGACGCGGUACCGGAAUAGAAAGCCACGGCUAACGACGUGCCAGCCGCCGCGGUAAUUC
rnacentral:rRNA from 1 species